rnacentral:rRNA from 1 species
UGCUCAACAGCUAGCCCACCCAACAAAACCAACAUUACCCUAUUUAUAACCCCUAAUACACUUCAACACAAAAAUAAACCAUUCUUCCCCCUAAGUACGGGCGACGGAAAAG